UCUUGAUAUGGGUCUAGCUUGGGCUUAAGUUGCGGCCCAAGCCAAGCCCAGUAAUCAUCCGAGCCUAGCUUAAAUUUCCUUUGACCCUUUUUAGGGUCUACUCCUAGUCCGUAUUGAUUGGGCUUAGUCCACAACUUCCCUCGGAGCUAGGCCGGCUUGAAUUCACUUACGGUCCUAAUGAUUAGGUUAAAAAAAUAAAAGAUAAAAGUGUAUCCUAUAAAUGAAUCUUCUUGGAUGGCCC
rnacentral:lncRNA from 1 species